CGGCGGUUGGGCGAUCGGGCGGGUUUCUGAUUGGCGGUCGAGCGGAUGGGUUUCUGGCGGGCGGUCGACCGACUACCAAACAGUGUUCGUUCAUUAACAUAAAAGUGCUUUGACGAUGUUUUUUUAAAUUUAGUUAUGUUGUUUACUGUGACUAAAUGAAGAUUAAGUACAAUUGUCACGAUUUUAGCUUUUCUCGUUGUUAGUUG
rnacentral:lncRNA from 1 species